GACUAAUACAGUCACCAUUGCUGAUUUCAAGCCACCAAUGUGAUGUCCUUAAGCAUGGAAAUUGUUAAAAGGUAUGUAGGAGCACACCAUUAUAUAGCAUAUCCACCAUGAAGAUACAACUGUAAUAAAUAAAUCCAAGAACAUACACAGUAGAAAAAUAAUUAAUAGGUUGUAGUGUACUUAUUACCUUUGCUUUAACACCAUUUAUUUUAAGUAACUUAUUUAAUGUUUAAUAAUGGCUAUGCUUAACAACUGAUUCCCAAAAUUCUUGAAAAUUUAACAUUCUUUCCUUGUGGGUCAGUGUGGACCAGCCUGGCUUCAGUAUAACACUAAAAUGGCUAUCUACCACUCUAAAAUUCACAUUUAUGUUUCCUGUUUGUUGGAAAGAUGAACUCAAUUUAAGUUUCUUUUUUAAUGUGUGAACUUUUUAUUUUUACUUUAUUUUUUGUUGGUACAUUAUUAUUAGAUAUAAUAUUGAGUCCACUAAUGAAUAUGGAUUCAUUGUGCCUUAUUCAUGCAUUCACAUAACAAUUUGAUCAAUCUCAUUCCCCCAGUACCUUCCCUUUUUCUCCCCUCCACCCUCCCUCUAAUCUGCUGCCUCUACUAACUUCAGAUUUUUUUAAAAUAUAUGUUUUUAAUACCUUUAUUUAAUUUUUUAAUUUUCAUGUGGCGCUGAGGAUUGAACCAGCACCUCGCACAUGCUAGGUGAACACUCUACCGCUGAGCCACAACCCCAGCCCCCAACUUCAGAUUUUUAAAGAAGGGGUUCUGUCUCAGACUGGUUGAGUUAUCUGCCUGUGAUUGAGCUGUACAAAGCAUUUGUGGUUGAUCCAGAGGGAGUCUGCCUACUUCCCACAAGGAGAUCCCCAGAAGCAGCCCCACUGUGACUGCAGGGCACCACCCUAAGAGGUGCCCAUGACAGUGCUGCAGACACACCAACACCACUCCCUCCUCUGCUUGGUCUUUCAAGACUACACAGAAUGUGUUUCUGACUCACCUGCUCUUUCUCCCCAGAAAAAUGACAAAAAAAAUGUGUAAGUGGUUUUCAAAGUGUUGUCCUGGAUCAGCAGCAUCUGCCUCACAUGGGAAUUUGUUCAAAAAGCAAAAUUUUGGACCCCACUCCAACUCUACUGAAUGAGACAUUCUGGGGAUGGAGACCAGCAGUCUAUGUUUCAAAAAGUUCUCCAGGUUAUUCCGAG
rnacentral:lncRNA from 1 species